AGGAACUGAAGCAGACACCAUGG
rnacentral:piRNA from 1 species